rnacentral:rRNA from 1 species
GACGAACGCUGGCGGCGUGCUUAACACAUGCAAGUCGAACGGAAAGGCCCUGCUUUUGUGGGGUGCUCGUGUGGCGAACGGGUGAGUAACACGUGAGUAACCUGCCCUUGACUUUGGGAUAACUUCAGGAAACUGGGGCUAAUACCGGAUAGGAGCUCCUGCUGCAUGGUGGGGGUUGGAAAGUUUCGGCGGUUGGGGAUGGACUCGCGGCUUAUCAGCUUGUUGGUGGGGUAGUGGCUUACCAAGGCUUUGACGGGUAGCCGGCCUGAGAGGGUGACCGGCCACAUUGGGACUGAGAUAGGGCCCAGACUCCUACGGGAGGCAGCAGUGGGGAAUAUUGCACAAUGGGCGGAAGCCUGAUGCAGCAACGCCGCGUGCGGGAUGACGGCCUUCGGGUUGUAAACCGCUUUCGCCUGUGACGAAGCGUGAGUGACGGUAAUGGGUAAAGAAGCACCGGCUAACUACGUG